AUUGAACGCUGGCGGCAGGCCUAACGCAUGCAAGUCGAGCGGAUGAAGGGAGCUUGCUCCUGGAUUCAGCGGCGGACGGGUGAGUAAUGCCUAGGAAUCUGCCUGGUAGUGGGGGAUAACGUCCGGAAACGGGCGCUAAUACCGCAUACGUCCUGAGGGAGAAAGUGGGGGAUCUUCGGACCUCACGCUAUCAGAUGAGCCUAGGUCGGAUUAGCUAGUUGGUGGGGUAAAGGCCUACCAAGGCGACGAUCCGUAACUGGUCUGAGAGGAUGAUCAGUCACACUGGAACUGAGACACGGUCCAGACUCCUACGGGAGGCAGCAGUGGGGAAUAUUGGACAAUGGGCGAAAGCCUGAUCCAGCCAUGCCGCGUGUGUGAAGAAGGUCUUCGGAUUGUAAAGCACUUUAAGUUGGGAGGAAGGGCAGUAAGUUAAUACCUUGCUGUUUUGACGGUACCAACAGAAUAAGCACCGGCUAACUUCGUG
rnacentral:rRNA from 1 species